rnacentral:snRNA from 1 species
GUGGUGAGCACAUAGCGAACUAUUCUUUCGCCUUUUACUAAAGAAUACCGUGUGCUCUCCACGCUAAGUGGCAUACGCCUAUUUUUGGAGGGUU